UCGACUGAGUAGAAGUGGAGCCGCGUCCGGCACGGGCGCCUCAUCCACCCCGUGUCGUACCGACCCGCCCAGUUGUCCCCCUGGGCGGGUC
rnacentral:sRNA from 1 species